ensembl:snRNA U6 U6 spliceosomal RNA
GUGCUAAUGUCAGCAGUACAUAUACUAAAGUUGGAAUGAUAUAGAAAAGAUUAGCAUGGUCCCUGCACAAAGGAAAUGAAAGAGACCACAGCUUCCUUCAAUGUAAUU